GCUAGGGGCGGCGAGCGCGCGUGCGCGCGGCGGCCUGGACCGUUCUCCGCGCGCUUUGGCCUCGCGCCGGGGCCGCCGCCCCUCCCCCACCCGGCUCGCGCGCUCCCUCACCCUCUCACCCGCCGCCGCCGCCGCCGCCGCCUCCGCCCGCCGCCUCCGAGGGGGAGAGGUGCUGCCGCUGCUCACGCUCCCGAGUCCCUCGGGGCCAGGAGCUGCCGCCUCGCCUCGCCGGUCCGCCUGCCUCAGCCGACACAGACGCCUCGUCGCUUCCUCAGGGGCCGCAGCGGGCUCCGACUGCGCCACUCGCACCCCGCCUGGGCCGCGCUGCACGUCAGCACGACCGACGAAGCGCGUCAGCACGCACCCGCGCGCGUCGCAGGGCCCGCCGGGAACCGUAGUACGUCCCGCGGCGCUUUGCGCAGGCGCCGAGGCCACUUCGGGAAGCGUAGUUUCUUAAGGCCCAAGGGAGGUUCAACGCAGCUGCCAGGGAACUACGAAUCCCUGCGGCCAGUGCGAGGAAGGGCGGGUGGACGGGCCUGGCCUGUGCCUUCAGCCUCCUGUUUCGUGGCCUUGUCGCAGCGCCGUGGAUUUACCCUUUCCUCUGGAGCUGAGGCCGCUUGUCCAGCGGAGCCUGAGAGGCGGAAACAAUGUUGGUGGCCGCUGGGACAGGGGACCGGGAGAAGUAAGACACUAGAAAGGAACCUGGUGAGGAAAGGCCACAGGGACCGUCCUGGUCUACAGCGUUUGGGAGCAUUGCCUCCUUGGCCGCACAACACACAGCAGCCUUCGUACAGCGCGUCCUGGCCCAGGUCAGCAUGUUCCCCCACCCCCCACUCCUUCUUGGGGUGGAUGCUCUCUAUGAUUCAGAAAUUUCUACAGCUUUAAAAGCAGUAACUUUAUUUUCUUAGGAUUGUUUUAUGAAAAUUCAGAUGAAUUAUGACUACCAGGCUUGGCAUCUUUUUAUUUAAAAACACUGGGAAAAACAAGAAAACCACUGAAAAGUAAAAGAUCAACCCAUGAAAUCCCGUCACUUAAAAAUUACAAAAUUAGGGGUGCCUGGGUGGCUUAGUCACUCACGCAUCCGACUCUUGAUCUCUGCUCAGGUCGUGAUCUCACAGAUCAUGAGUUCAAGCCCCACAUCAGGCUCCAGGCGAUCAGCACAGAGCCUGCUUGGGAUUCCCUCUCUCUCUGCCCCUUUCCCACUUGUGUUCUCUCUCUCUCUCUCUCUCUCUCUCUCUCUCUCUCAAAAAUAAAUAAACUUAUAAAAAAUUAUAAAACUAGGGG
rnacentral:lncRNA from 1 species